GAUGAAGAACGUAGCGAAAUGCGAUAAGUAAUGCGAAUUGCAGAAUUCAGUGAGUCAUCGAAUCUUUGAACGCACAUUGCGCCCUGUGGUAUUCCGCAGGGCAUGCCUGUUCGAGCGUCAUUUCAACCCUCAAGCUCUGCUUGGUGUUGGGCCCUGCCCGCUGCGGCCGGCCCUAAAGACAGUGGCGGUGCCGCCUGGCCCUGAGCGUAGUACAUCUCUCGCUCCAGUGCCCGGUGGUAGCCUGCCAGAACCCCAACUCUCGUGGUUGACCUCGGAUCAGGUAGGGAUACCCGCUGAACUUAAGCAUAUCAGUAAGCGGAGGA
rnacentral:misc_RNA from 1 species